GAUUCUUCAUGCGAAAUCGCUAUACUCCUAUUUUCCUGCUCCUUUGAUUCUUGUUUUGGCUCUGAAGUUCUCUGGUCCACGGAUGUCAUGUUGAGGAAUUUAAAACCAACGUUGAAGUGUGCAGACUCGGGAGGGGAUCCUAUGAUACUCCACUGCCCUUGAACAAUGAACCAUUGGUGGCAACUCUGCAUAUGACUUUCAAGUUGGUUUCAGAUCCACGUCGUUGUCAUGUCACAACAAGUUAGCUUGCUCAGCAGAACUUGUGGGGUGUUUUGUUGAAACGAAGAUAGAGUCUAUCUACCCAGAGAUUGUUGGAUUCACAUCCCAUCCUUGCUGGGGAUUAUGGGACUUGAAUUUGGAAGAGCACCAGCAUGGAGAAGACGGGAGCUGAAUAUUUUCCUGUUUCAGAUACAUCUCAGAAAUGAAUCUUUGCAACAGAAGACACACAACAAGCACCUAUAUCAAGUGGUGGGAUUCAAGUAAUUUAACAACCGGUUCUCUGCCCUAAUGAUUUCUUCCAACAACCAGUUUGCCAAACUGCUCAGAAAGUUAACAACCGGUUCUCCCGAAGUGGUGCGAACUGGCUGAAUCCCAUCAGCUGCCUAUAUCUCUUUUGAACUUAAUUUCACUUUCUUUCUCUCUCUUCUCUGAAGUUUAGAGUGACAUCUAGUGUUUGUAGCACAAAAUAAUUAUCUUUGACCUGUACGCUGAAAUGUUAGCUGGAGUUGACUGUAGUGGCCAAAAUUGUGAAAACCUUUUGGGAAAAGUAUAUUUUCAAAAACUAGCUAAUAACAUCCUUUUUGGGGGGGAGUAGUACCAUAAAAUUAUAUAUCAAUGGAAAGAUAAUUUAAUCUGGGUCCUUGAGUGGCGCAGACUGGUAAGACAGUCUGUUAUUAACACAGCUGCCUGCAAUUACUGCAGGUUCUAGUCCCACCAGGUCCAAGGUUGACUCAGCCUUCCAUCCUUUAUAAGGUAGGUAAAAUGAGGACCCAGAUUGUUGGGGGCAAUAAGUUGACUUUGUAUAUAAUAUACAAAUAGGAUGAAGACUAUUGCUAACAUAGUGUAAGCCGCCCUGAGUCUUCGGAGAAGGGCGGGAUAUAAAUGCAAAUAAAAAAAUAUAUAUCCUAGUCCAGUUCAUAAUCCUCAUGCUAAGCACAUACAAUGCAGGUUUCAAUCACACUAUUGUGGUAUUUCUGACUAUAAUCUGCAGACACCCGCUAGAUCUGAGUUCUUCCACUGCUUCCUGGUAUAAUUCUGUUCUCUGUCGAUCACCUUCCUUGCCAUUCUUUCUGAAAGCUCUAAAAAUCAAAAAGGGAAGAAAAUGACCAGACUGGCAACUACAGGUAGUGCUUGACUUACAACAGUUGAUUUAGUGACCACUCAAAGUUACAACAGGAUUAUAAAAAAGUGACUUACAACUGUUUUUCAUACUUACGACCGUUGCAGCAUAGCAAUGUGAUCAAAAUUCAGAGGCUGACUGAAUGCAACUGACUCAUAUUUAUGACGGUUGCAAUGUCCCAGGGUAAGGUGAUCCCUCGUUUGCGAAUUUCUGACAAGCAAAUGUCCUCAUUGGGGAAGCCAGAUUCGCUUAACAACCAUGUAACCCACUUAACAACGUUGGUGAUUCCCUUACCAAUGACGGAAGAAAGAAAGAUCGAAGCUCACUUAACAAGUGUUUCACUUAAAAACAGAAAUGUUGAGCUCAAUUGUGGUUGUAAGUCGAGGACUACCCAUAGCCAUAUGGUUAUCUGGGGGAGUUUUUAUGGAAGGACGGGAGCCUAUCAAUUCAAGGGGAGAAGCCUUCAAGGAGGGGAGCCUAUCAAGGGGAGAAGAAAAAUUCCUGACACGAUGGGACUUGAGCAGUGGUGGAACGUUACCGGUUUAACAACCGGUUCUGUGAGCGCGUGCUUUGCAUUUUGCGCAUGGACGUGUGCUUUGCGCAUGCACGCGCCUAAGGUGCUUGCGUGCAGCACUGAAAAUGGAGCAUUUAGAAGCUCAGCUGCUUACCUUCCAAGUCAGCAAUGGCCUAAACCAAGUGCUCAGUUCCAGUCUUAAACUCUGCCUACAGCUAAACUGAACGUUUCAGGUCAUUGUGGGACCACCUUAACCUUUUCCGUCUGUCUGUCUGUGGAGAUCAUUUACUUUCUAUCUACCAAGAAAAGGUAGUUUUGGCCACCUAGUGAGAAGGAAGGACUCUCUGGAGAAGACCCUCAUGCUGGGAACGAUUGAGGGCAAAAGAAGAAGGGAACGGCAGAGAACGAGGUGGCUGGAUGGAGUCACUGAAGCAGUCGGCGUGAGCUUAAGGAGGAUGGUAGAGGACAGGAAGGCCUGCAGGAACGUUGUCCAUGGGGUCGCGAUGGAUCGGACACGACUUCGCAAUGAACAACAACAACCAAGAAAAGAUGGGAGUAAUCUUGGCGGUUCAAUCAAUGAAAAAGAACACAAUCCAGGAUGGCAAUCCAGUGCUAAUCAAAUAUCUGAUUUUGCUCAAUAUCCUACACAGGAGAUAUUACCAUUGUAUCAGCUUGG